rnacentral:rRNA from 1 species
GUGAACGCUGGCGGCAGGCUUAACACAUGCAAGUCGAACGCACCGCAAGGUGAGUGGCAGACGGGUGAGUAACGCGUGGGAACCUUCCCUUUGGUUCAGGAUAGCUCCGGGAAACUGGAAUUAAUACUGGAUAAGAUCUACGGAUGAAAGAUUUAUCGCCGAAGGAUGGGCCCGCGUAAGAUUAGCUAGUUGGUGAGGUAAUGGCUCACCAAGGCAAUGAUCUUUAGCUGGUCUGAGAGGAUGAUCAGCCACACUGGAACUGAGACACGGUCCAGACUCCUACGGGAGGCAGCAGUGAGGAAUAUUGGACAAUGGGCGCAAGCCUGAUCCAGCCAUGCCGCGUGAGUGAUGAAGGCCUUAGGGUUGUAAAACUCUUUAGUAGGGAAGAUAAUGAUGGUACCUACAGAAAAAGCUCCGGCUAACUUCGUGCCAGCAGCCGCGGUAA